UGGCUUCUUGCAUUUGUGUUUCCAAGGUGUAGAUGUGUGACAGUUUGUCCCCUUUUUACUUGAUUCUAAUGGUAAUUAAACAAGCCAUUGCUUUCCACCCAAACAUGUAAGCCAAAAUGGUCUUUAGUCCCACCUAUGCUUCUUGAUCUUAAGAAAAACCAUGAUUCUUGUCUUAGAAGGUUUGAAAAGGUGAAGAAGUGCUAAUACUCCCUAUUAUGAUCAUUUCUAGAUAACUUUGUAGACUUUCAUAGAAGUUAGUUAAAGUGCAGGAGUUACUAUGUAUUAUGUUCUGCAAUCCUGAAAUAUUUAAAUUUUAUCCAUGCCUUUAAGUCGAAUCCCUCAUUCUAUAUAGAUUGAAAAUCAGGUAAUGUUUAAUAUUCAUUGAAAAUCAUAUCCUCCGACUUACUUUUUGGACUUGCUUUUUAUAUUUUAGUGUUACCUGAACAUGACAAAAAUUGUAAUUUUUGCUGUCUCCAUGCGGAUACGACAUGACACGUCUGACAUGCAUGGACGGACUUGCACUAUAUAUCAGUGUUACAUGAACAUGAUGAAAAUAAGGAUUUUUGCCGUGUUCCCAUGCAGAUAUG
rnacentral:lncRNA from 1 species